GUGGCUAAACACAAGCAAUGAUGC
rnacentral:siRNA from 1 species